CGGCAUGCCUACNNUGCAGUCGAACGAGGCUUCGAGCCUUAGUGAGCGCACGGGUGCGUAACGCGUGGGAAUCUGCCCUUAGGUUCGGAAUAACAGCUGGAAACGGCUGCUAAUACCGGAUGAUAUCGCGAGAUCAAAGAUUUAUCGCCUGAGGAUGAGCCCGCGUUGGAUUAGGUAGUUGGUGGGGUAAAGGCCUACCAAGCCGACGAUCCAUAGCUGGUCUGAGAGGAUGAUCAGCCACACUGGGACUGAGACACGGCCCAGACUCCUACGGGAGGCAGCAGUGGGGAAUAUUGGACAAUGGGCGAAAGCCUGAUCCAGCAAUGCCGCGUGAGUGAUGAAGGCCCUAGGGUUGUAAAGCUCUUUUACCCGGGAAGAUAAUGACUGUACCGGGAGAAUAAGCCCCGGCUAACUCCGUGCCAGCAGCCGCGGUAAUACGGAGGGGGCUAGCGUUGUUCGGAAUUACUGGGCGUAAAGCGCACGUAGGCGGCUUUGUAAGUCAGAGGUGAAAGCCUGGAGCUCAACUCCAGAACUGCCUUUGAGACUGCAUCGCUUGAAUCCAGGAGAGGUCAGUGGAAUUCCGAGUGUAGAGGUGAAAUUCGUAGAUAUUCGGAAGAACACNNGUGGCGAAGGCGGCUGACUGGACUGUUAUUGACGCUGAGNUGNGNAGC
rnacentral:rRNA from 1 species